GUCGAGCGCCCCGCAAGGGGAGCGGCGGACGGGUGCGUAACGCGUGGGAAUGUACCCUUCGGUACGGAACAACUCAGGGAAACUUGAGCUAAUACCGUAUAUUCCGGAAACGGCAAAGAUUUAUCGCCGAAGGAUCAGCCCGCGUCCGAUUAGCUAGUUGGUGAGGUAACGGCCCACCAAGGCGACGAUCGGUAGCUGGUUUGAGAGAACGAUCAGCCACACUGGGACUGAGACACGGCCCAGACUCCUACGGGAGGCAGCAGUUGGGAAUCUUGGACAAUGGGCGAAAGCCUGAUCCAGCCAUGCCGCGUGAGUGAUGAAGGCCCUAGGGUUGUAAAGCUCUUUUGCCAGGGAAGAUAAUGACUGUACCUGGAGAAUAAGCCCCGGCUAACUUCGUGCCAGCAGCCGCGGUAAUACGAAGGGGGCUAGCGUUGUUCGGAAUUACUGGGCGUAAAGCGUGCGCAGGCGGUUUCCCAAGUCAGGGGUGAAAGCCCGGAGCUCAACUCCGGAAUUGCCUUUGAAACUGUGAAACUAGAGUGCGGGAGAGGUGAGUGGAAUUCC
rnacentral:rRNA from 1 species